GACGAACGCUGGCGGCGUGCUUAACACAUGCAAGUCGAACGGAAAGGCCCUGCUUUUGUGGGGUGCUCGAGUGGCGAACGGGUGAGUAACACGUGAGUAACCUGCCCUUGACUUUGGGAUAACUUCAGGAAACUGGGGCUAAUACCGGAUAGGAGCUCCUGCUGCAUGUUGGGGGUUGGAAAGUUUCGGCGGUUGGGGAUGGACUCGCGGCUUAUCAGCUUGUUGGUGGGGUAGUGGCUUACCAAGGCUUUGACGGGUAGCCGGCCUGAGAGGGUGACCGGCAACAUUGGGACUGAGAUACGGCCCAGACUCCUACGGGAGGCAGCAGUGGGGAAUAUUGAACAAUGGGCGGAAGCCUGAUGCAGCAACGCCGCGUGCGGGAUGACGGCCUUCGGGUUGUAAACCGCUUUCGCCUGUGACGAAGCGUGAGUGACGGUAAUGGGUAAAGAAGCACCGGCUAACUACGUG
rnacentral:rRNA from 1 species